rnacentral:sRNA from 1 species
CAUUCCCUAGAGAUGGUCACUCAUUGCCUUGGUGAGUUUGUAGUUUAUCCCAGAGUAACAUUUAAAAUUGACUGAGCUUUUGAAAUAAAUCAGUAAGCUAUUACCCUAUUCUAGGUAGGCAAAGGCUUUAGUUUGGUACGUGAAAUAUAACAAGCUUAUUUGAAAAUGAGUGUUAAUUUGACUUCAGGAACCUGGGAUUUGCAUUUUCAUUUUGACUUAAAGAGGUGCCCUCUGGAGUUGCCCAGAGGGCAGGCAUUGCUAGGUUGCUUACCUUUUAAACUCUUCUUUUAGCCGUACUCUGACAGCUGUGCACGAUGCCAUCCUUGAGGACUUGGUCUUCCCAAGCGAAAUUGUGGGCAAGAGAAUCCGCGUCAAACUAGAUGGCAGCCGGCUCAUAAAGGUUCAUUUGGACAAAGCACAGCAGAACAAUGUGGAACACAAGGUUGAAACUUUUUCUGGUGUCUAUAAGAAGCUCACGGGCAAGGAUGUUAAUUUUGAAUUCCCAGAGUUUCAAUUGUAAACAAAAAUGACUAAAUAAAAAGUAUAUAUUCACAGU